GUUUGCCAGUAAUGAUCCUGACUGUCCUGAAACCUGAAAUCCUGGAAAGAGAAACCUUUGUCUGGAAUCUGCCUGCCUGCACUUAGUCUCAGUCUCUGCCUCAGCCCUCAGCCCUCUGCCUGCCGACAAGCCUCUGGACUCAUAUGGUUCCCCCCCUGCUGAUCAGAUCCAUCUCUGAGCAGUGGUGUUCCUCCCGUGAUCAGUACGAAGAACCCAGAACCAGUGCAACAUUUUGUCUGUGAAACCUUGUAAAU